ACGGAAGGCAGCAGUGGGGAAUUUUGCGCAAUGGGGGGAACCCUGACGCAGCAACGCCGCGUGCGGGAUGGAGGCCUUCGGGUUGUAAACCGCUUUCAGCAGGGAAGAUCGUGACGGUACCUGCAGAAGAAGCUCCGGCUAACUACGUGCCAGCAGCCGCGGUAAUACGUAGGGAGCGAGCGUUAUCCGGAUUCAUUGGGCGUAAAGCGCGCGUAGGCGGGCGCCUAAGCGGGACCUCUAAUCCAGGGGCUCAACCUCUGGCCGGGUCCCGAACUGGGCGCCUCGAGUGCGGUAGAGGCAGGCGGAAUUCCAUGUGUAGCGGUGAAAUGCGCAGAUAUAUGGAAGAACACCGAUGGCGAAGGCAGCCUGCUGGGCCGACACUGACGCUGAGGUGCGAAAGCUAGGGGAGCGAACAGGAUUAGAUACCCUGGUA
rnacentral:rRNA from 1 species